rnacentral:rRNA from 1 species
GACGAACGCUGGCGGCGUGCUUAACACAUGCAAGUCGAACGGAAAGGCCCUGCUUUUGUGGGGUGCUCGAGUGGCGAACGGGUGAGUAACACGUGAGUAACCUGCCCUUGACUUUGGGAUAACUUCAGGAAACUGGGGCUAAUACCGGAUAGGAGCUCCUGCUGCAUGGUGGGGGUUGGAAAGUUUCGGCGGUUGGGGAUGGACUCGCGGCUUAUCAGCUUGUUGGUGGGGUAGUGGCUUACCAAGGCUUUGACGGGUAGCCGGCCUGAGGGGGUGACCGGCCACAUUGGGCCUGCGAUACGGCCCAGACUCCUACGGGAGGCAGCAGUGGGGAAUAUUGCACAACGGGCGGAAGCCUGAUGAAGCAACGCCGCGUGCGGGAUGACGGCCUUCGGGUUGUAAACCGCUUUCGCCUGUGACGAAGCGUGAGUGACGGUAAUGGGUAAAGAAGCACCGGCUAACUACGUG